rnacentral:ncRNA from 2 species
CCAAUAGCGUAUAUUAAAGUUGUUGCAGUUAAAAAGCUCGUAGUUGAAUUUCGGGACCAUCAUGUCGGUCGUGCCUCGGUACGUACUGGCAUUGUUGGUUUCUCCCUUCUGACGAACCAUGAUGUCAUUUAUUUGGUGUUGUGGGGAAUCAGGACUGUUACUUUGAAAAAAUUAGAGUGUUUAAAGCAGGCUCACGCUUGAAUACAUUAGCAUGGAAUAAUGAAAUAGGACGUUUGAUUCUAUUUUGUUGGUUUCUAGGAUCGACGUAAUGAUUAAUAGGGAUAGUUGGGGGCAUUAGUAUUCAAUUGUCAGAGGUGAAAUUCUUGGAUUUAUUGAAGACUAACUACUGCGAAAGCAUUUGCCAAGGAUGUUUUCAUUAAUCAAGAACGAAAGUUAGGGGAUCGAAGACGAUCAGAUACCGUCGUAGUCUUAACCAUAAACUAUGCCGACUAGGGAUCGGAUGAUGUUAAUUUUUUAAUGACUCAUUCGGCGCCUUACG